rnacentral:rRNA from 1 species
GAUGAACGCUGGCGGCGUGCCUAAUACAUGCAAGUCGAGCGAACGGACGAGAAUCUUUCUUCUCUGAUGUUAGCGGCGGACGGGUGAGUAACACGUGGAUAACCUACCUAUAAGACUGGGAUAACUUCGGGAAACCGGCGCUAAGACGGGAUAAUAAUUUGAACUGCAUGGUUCAAAAGUGAAAGACGGUCUUGCUGUCACUUAUAGAUGGAUCCGCGCUGCAUUAGCUAGUUGGUAAGGUAACGGCUUACCAAGGCUACGAGGCAUAGCCGACCUCAGAGGGUCGUCGGCCACACUGGAAGUGAGACACGGUACAGACUCCUACGCGAGGCAGCAGUAGGGAAUCUUCCGCGAUGGAGGAGAGCCGGACGGAGCAAAGCGGCGUGAGGGAUGAAGGUCUUAGGAUGGUAAAACGCUGUUAUUAGGAAAGAACAUAUGUGCAAGUAACUGUGAACAUAUUGACGGUACCUAAUCAGAAAGCCACGGCUAACUACGUG